rnacentral:rRNA from 1 species
UACGUAGGCAGCGAGCGUUGUUCGGAAUUACUGGGCGUAAAGAGUGUGUAGGCGGUGCUCUAAGUUCGGUGUGAAAUCUCCUGCUUAACUGGGAGGGUGCGCCGGAAACUGGAGUGCUCGAGCGUGGGAGAGGAAAGGCGGAAUUCCUGGUUGUAGCGGUGAAAUGCGUAGAUAUCAGGAGGAACACCUGUGGUGUAGACGGCUUUCUGGACCAUAGCUGACGCUGAGACACGAAAGCGUGGGUAGCAACAGG